rnacentral:rRNA from 1 species
AACGAACGCUGGCGGCAUGCCUAACACAUGCAAGUCGAACGAGACCUUCGGGUCUAGUGGCGCACGGGUGCGUAACGCGUGGGAACCUGCCCUUAGGUUCGGAAUAACUCCCCGAAAGGGGUGCUAAUACCGGAUAAUGUCUUCGGACCAAAGAUUUAUCGCCUUAGGAUGGGCCCGCGUUGGAUUAGCUAGUUGGUAGGGUAAAAGCCUACCAAGGCGACGAUCCAUAGCUGGUCUGAGAGGAUGAUCAGCCACACUGGGAGUGAGACACGGCCCAGACUCCUACGGGAGGCAGCGGUGGGGAAUAUUGGACAAUGGGCGAAAGCGUGAUCCAGCAAUGCCGCGUGAGUGAUGAAGGCCUGAGGGUUGUAAAGCUCUUUUACCCGGGAUGAUAAUGACAGUACCGGGAGAAUAAGCUCCGGCUAACUCCGUG